UACGUAGGGUGCGAGCGUUGUCCGGAAUUAUUGGGCGUAAAGAGCUUGUAGGCGGUUUGUCGCGUCGGGAGUGAAAACUCAGGGCUUAACCCUGAGCCUGCUUCCGAUACGGGCAGACUAGAGGUAUGCAGGGGAGAAUGGAAUUCCUGGUGUAGCGGUGAAAUGCGCAGAUAUCAGGAGGAACACCGGUGGCGAAGGCGGUUCUCUGGGCAUUACCUGACGCUGAGGAGCGAAAGUGUGGGGAGCGAACAGG
rnacentral:rRNA from 1 species